UGAGGGAAUAUUGGGUCAAUGGGCGGGAGCCUGAACCAGCCAAGCCGCGUGAGGGAAGAAGGCCCUAUGGGUCGUAAACCUCUUUUGUCAGGGAACAAAAGCGAGUAUGUAUACUAGUCUGAGUGUACCUGAAGAAAAAGCAUCGGCUAACUCCGUGCCAGCAGCCGCGGUAAUACGGAGGAUGCGAGCGUUAUCCGGAUUUAUUGGGUUUAAAGGGUGCGUAGGCGGCGAUGCAAGUCAGCGGUAAAAGCCCGGGGCUCAACCCCGGCGAGCCGUUGAAACUGCAGUGCUAGAGAAGGCGAGAGGUACGCGGAAUGCGCAGUGUAGCGGUGAAAUGCUUAGAUAUUGCGCAGAACUCCGAUUGCGAAGGCAGCGUACUGGCGCCUGACUGACGCUGAGGCACGAAAGCGUGGGGGGAUCGAACAGGGAUUAGAUACC
rnacentral:rRNA from 1 species